ensembl:lncRNA cell surface glycoprotein 1-like
GUCUGUGUGAGGUGAGCGCGGGCACAUUCAGCUCGUAACUGCAGAGCGUGAUGAACACAGCUUCAGAACCUCAGCUUCAGUGGUGUGCUCAGCAUGGGCUGCUCUUCGUCCAGCACGCAGACGCUCGCGCAGGAGGACCGGCCGCGCGACAAAGAAACUGUGCUCUCUCGUAAUGGGCUUGUAGCAGAAGACAGCGAGACUGUCUCGGAUCAGAUGCAGCUGCCAGUUCAAAGCGCUCUGCCGGAUGAGCUGGGUCCCGGACCGGGCGAGACGGUGGAAGAUGUCCAGUCUGAGGCUUCAGAAGCAGAGCAGACAACGGUCAGCGCUAGUGAUGCUCCUCUGGAGGAGAGAGAUCCAGCAGACGUUCCUGAAACAUCGAGCCCUGAAGCUCCUGCUGAAGAGCAUGCUGCGUCAGAACCCAGUGACACUACGCCUGCAGAACCCUCUCUAGCUGUGGAACCAGCAUCAGAUCUCACCAGCACUCCAGAACCCAAGCCGGCUGAGCUAACAGCAGCUCCAGAAGCCCCAUCAGACGUGAGCUCGGAGCCCACACUGGAGCAAGCAGACACAGUUCCUGAAGCGAAGCCAACCGCAGCUCCAGAACCAGGUCCAGUGGAGCUUCCCCUGAAUGUAGAGUCCACUCCAGCACCAGAACCCACUCCAGAGGAACCCGACCCGAAUGUAGAAUCAGCUCUACCUGCACCUCCAGAACCCAUUCCAGCCGAAGUAAGCCCUGCUCCAGAACUCACUGUGUCUGAACCGGUCCCGAGUGCAGAACCAGCUCCUGCUGAGGAUCUGACUGUGUCUCCAGAACACGCUGCAGUGGAACCAAGCCCAGCUCCAGAACCCACGGCUGAGGAACCGAGUCCAGCUCCAGAACCUACGGCUGAGGAACCGAGUCCAGCUCCAGAACCCACGGCUGAGGAACCGAGUCCAGCUCCAGAACCCACGGCUGAGGAACCGAGUCCAGCUCCAGAACCCACAGCUGAGGAACCGAGUCCAGCCCAAGCGACUGAGGCAGCAGUGAUCUCACAGUCUGCAGAGGAGAAAGAGACCGACGCAGUCGCUCCAGAGGGAGCCGCCGGUGAGGAGAGCGCAGCAGAUGCAGCUGUGGUCGGUGAAGAUGGAGCUGAUCUGAAAUCCACAGAACCUGCAGAUUGAUGGCAGUGUGAUGCUGUAAGACGUGCCUUUUAUUUCAGUAGACAUGAGGGUUUGGGCUUCACAUAAGUUUGUACAUAAAUUAGUGUUUCUAAGUAGCGUUAGCAUCAUUAGCAUUGUUGUUAAAAGCCACAGAAAUGCCUCUGAGAGCGCGGGUCCCGUGGGUAACCGGCCGAGCGUGGGACGAAUGCUUGUGCCACUGGAUAAAAUCACAGCAUCAUGUCCUCAUCUUCAACUGAGUCAAACUCAACAACAAUAUUAACUCAUCUGAACAAACACGAGCCAAAAUUAGCCAAAUUAUUCUUAAUAAUGUGUCUUUUAAUGGGUCAGAAGGGCUUCGUCUCUUUUAUGUAUUUAGUGCAUCUUUCUCCUCAGACUGCAGAUGUAAAGCAGUUUGACUCUUUACUUGCAUUAAUCAAAGGCAAACGGUAGUAUAUUAAUCAAUAGUAUAUGUUGUUGGGUUAUUUUAGUAUUGUUUGUGGUGACUGAUAGUUACUGGAGCACUAAUAAACCUCAUCUGAUCAGCUUUAAAUCUGUGACACUGGAAGGAAAGCAGUUGCUCAGUGAAUCAAAUCAGUGUGAAAACAUGAAAGUUGAACUCUUUAUACAAAUAAAUCAAGCUUUUAAUGAACUAUGACAUGAUCUCUGCACGUCUCCUGUAUGUGUCUUUUUUUACAUUUAUAUGUGCACAGAAUAAAU